AACGAACGCUGGCGGCAGGCCUAACACAUGCAAGUCGAGCGAGGACUUCGGUCCUAGCGGCGGACGGGUGAGUAACGCGUGGGAACGUGCCCUUUGCUUCGGAAUAGCCCUGGGAAACUGGGAGUAAUACCGGAUGAGCCCUUUGGGGGAAAGAUUUAUCGGCGAAGGAUCGGCCCGCGUUGGAUUAGGUAGUUGGUGGGGUAAUGGCCUACCAAGCCGACGAUCCAUAGCUGGUUUGAGAGGAUGAUCAGCCACACUGGGACUGAGACACGGCCCAGACUCCUACGGGAGGCAGCAGUGGGGAAUCUUAGACAAUGGGGGAAACCCUGAUCUAGCCAUGCCGCGUGAGCGAUGAAGGCGUUAGGGUUGUAAAGCUCUUUCAGCUGGGAAGAUAAUGACGGUACCAGCAGAAGAAGCCCCGGCUAACUCCGUG
rnacentral:rRNA from 1 species